GACGAACGCUGGCGGCGUGCUUAACACAUGCAAGUCGAACGGAAAGGCCCUGCUUUUGUGGGGUGCUCGAGUGGCGAACGGGUGAGUAACACGUGAGUAACCUGCCCUUGACUUUGGGAUAACUUCAGGAAACUGGGGCUAAUACCGGAUAGGAGCUCCUGCUGCAUGGUGGGGGUUGGAAAGUUUCGGCGGUUGGGGAUGGACUCGCGGCUUAUCAGCUUGUUGGUGGGGUAGUGGCUUACCAAGGUUUUGACGGGUAGCCGGCCUGAGAGGGUGACCGGCCACAUUGGGACUGAGAUACGGCCCAGACUCCUACGGGAGGCAGCAGUGGGGAAUAUUGCACAAUGGGCGGAAGCCUGAUGCAGCAACGCCGCGUGCGGGAUGACGGCCUUCGGGUUGUAAACCGCUUUCGCCUGUGACGAAGCGUGAGUGACGGUAAUGGGUAAAGAAGCACCGGCUAACUACGUG
rnacentral:rRNA from 1 species